rnacentral:rRNA from 1 species
AAACAACGAACCCCCCGGCACGGAACGUGCCAAGGAAUACAAGAACGAGAUCGCUCGGUCCUCCUCGUGCCGUUCGCGGCACUAGCGAGGAGCGACCGACGUCUUGAUGUAACCAAAAAUGACUCUCGGCAACGGAUAUCUCGGCUCUCGCAUCGAUGAAGAACGUAGCGAAAUGCGAUACUUGGUGUGAAUUGCAGAAUCCCGUGAACCAUCGAGUCUUUGAACGCAAGUUGCGCCCGAAGCCGUCAGGCCGAGGGCACGUCUGCCUGGGCGUCACGCAUCGCGUCGCCCCCCCUUCCCGCGACCACGUGUCGUGUGGCCGAGGGGGCGGAUGAUGGCCCCCCGUGCCCCUAAUGGGGGUGCGGUCGGCCUAAAUGCGAGUCCUCGGCGAUGGGCGUCACGGCGAGUGGUGGUCGUACCUUGUGCGUAUGUCGUCGCGCCGUGUCCCCGCCCGUCGUCUGCGGAAGAAGGACCCUUGAAGUGCCGUUCUCGCACGGCCCUAAGACCGCGACCCCAGUCAGGCCGG